CUCAGCUUUCUUCCGAACGCAAGUCGCUCUCUCACCUGCUUUUUCGUCUCCGAAGACGACGUCGACUCUAAAACUACGUUCACGCCAAUUUCUCCUCACGCGCACAGAUCGCGCUUUCCUUCUCUCUCGAGUCAGUCCGCGAAACUUUUUUCUUAUCACUGAAAACGCGACGGCUUAUCAGAGUCGUCCUGUGCUCGGGUUGUUUCCCGCGGGAAUUGUGAAGUGUCCCCGAAAAGUUUUCUUCUCCCGGUGUUUUUUUAAAAUUUUCUUCCUACUGGUGGUAAAAGUUCACGCGCCUGAGUUUCGCGCAAAUAUGGGAAGUGUUUUGACAAAAUUCUGAUCAAUUGUGCGUGUGUGUGUAGGUGUGGUGCUUUAUCCUCGUCCUGCGUCGCUCAUGAAUAAAAAAGGUGAGGCCUUUUUUGAUGACGUCACUAAAGCUGUUUCCUGGCUCUCGCAACCUCUCUUAUCAACACAGAAACAGGCGCAUUUUUGUUGCAUCCUUUUUGGAUCGAGGAUCAAGCUGGCUCGGCAGUGGCAAACUAUGCUGCGCUCGAUUUUUCAGACGCAACUCAUAUAACGAGCUUGGGCACUCCCGCUCCGUCUUCCCUCCGCACCAACCAUCAACGACUCAAGUGACAACUAAUUGCUACGGAUCC
rnacentral:lncRNA from 1 species